UCGAGCCCCGGCGGGCGCCCUGCCUGGGCCUCUCUGUCUCUCUCUCUCUCUCUCCCCCUCUGUGGCUCCCGUGAAUAAAUCCAAUAAAAUCCUAAAAAAAGAAAAAAAAAUUUAAACCGAUUAUGUGAGCCUUAAUGAAAAUAGUGUGCAAGCAGGCGGUAGGAGUAGGUGGAAAGGGAAAUGGGAACUUGAAAGGUCGCGUGGAGACGGUCUGGAAUAGUGGCGGCUUUCUGUUGUUGUUGUUGUUGUUGUUGUUGUUGUUUAGGGCCUGCUCCUCCGGCUGUGGGAGUAUAUGCAUUCGUGUUCACUUGUGGAUUCCGUGAUUCAGGCAGAUGGUACAACCGGUUAUGUGUGGCUUUCCAGGGAGGGGCGAAAGAUUUGUUCGUUUAAAGAGAGCAAGAGAGAGCAGGAGCUGGACGGAGAGGCGGAGGGAGAGGGAGAAGGUGACUCCGCAGUGAGCAGGGGUCUGAGGCUGGGCUGGGUCCCAGGACCACACCUCACCCCACCCCACCCCCCAGGGUCACAGCCUGGGCCUGAGGAGAGACGCAGAGAGAGAGAGAGGCAGAGACACAGGCAGAGGGAGAAGCAGGCUCCAUGCAAGGAGCCCCAUGUGGGACUCCAUCCGGGACUCCAGGAUCACGCCCUGAGCCGAAGGCAGGUGCUAAACCCAGGGAUCCCCUCUGCAUGCAGCUUUUAAGAGAAAAGCUAGGGAUCCCUGGGUGGCGCAGUGGUUUAGAAUUGGCGUGAGAGUGUACUUACUAGGCUCUUACCAACUUUCCAGAAUUGGGUCUGUAAACCUGAGAUCGGCAAACCUAGUCGGCCUAAGCAAUGCCCUUGAGUUUUUGUGCCACAAAGGAACAGAAUGAGAGGAGAGCAGAAGGGAGACUUCGUAGUGCAAGGGGAAUAGGAAUGGAAAAGGAGAGAAGAAAUGGAACUCAUAGAAGGAUACUUGUAGUGUUUAUUAUAAGAUUUCCUUGGAAAAAUCAGCAUAUCAAAGAUGUCGAAUGAGGCAAAAGUAUUAGUUAUGUGUAUAUUUAAUUUUGUAAGGACUUAAAGGUCAGGUGAUCAUAGAUCUGCUGGUGUCCACACAAUUUGCCCUUUUGCUGUUGGAUAUUGGAGAGGUGACGUAUGAGUACGGGACAGGCUCCUUACAGAAGAGAGGGCAUAUUGUUCAUUCAUUUUGUUAUCCCACAAAAAUAAUUUAAAAAGGCCAAUCAUUUUGUAAGCCUUAUUCCUUAUUUUCUAGUUUAACUCUUUGUUCUUUUCCCUAAACAGAAUAUUGUGGAGAACAGGCAAAUUUAGUUUUCCAAAAUAGCCAUUGAAGUUCUUAUCACUUUUUUUUUUUUUUUUGGUACUUGUUUGAAUGUUGAAGUCGUGGUAAAUAUGGAAAAGAUCAGGACCUCAGCUUCAGCUGAGUUUCCAUUGCUUUUCCAUUUCUAUAUCUGACGUCUCCAGGGGCACGACAUGCACAGAACAAAUCCAGGCAAAGCAAAUUUGGGCAUAUUGCCUUUGGCUCUGACUUCCGUGAACUGACCUGAUGAGUGGUCUUGAGAGCUUAUUUUCCCUAGACUAGAAACAGGCCUAAGGAACCCUGAGCCCUGCUCUAGUUGAUCUUCAGAUGGGACGAGGUAAAGGCAGCCCCAGGUUCUUUUUACUACAUAAGCCUCUUAGAGUGAAAGAGGGAGAACAGAACUAAGAAAAUCCAAAAUAACAGCAGUUCCAGGGCAAGUAGUUUCACUUUGCUGUCUAGUACACAAAGCUCCACACUGCAUUACUGGACUUUGGCUCAAAACCAGCGUCCUCCUUUGGAGGGUGAAGGUGAGGCAAAAAUAGGUCAGAUCUCGGGUUCUCGUAAGUUUGCCACUGACAGUCACUCAUAUUAACCUCAGUAUCAUAGGGUAAAUUGCCUCUCAUCCUGAGAAAGUUAGCGAACGUGAUAGGCUAGACCUGACCUACGGUUGCUCUUGUGAGAGAAGUCUUGUUAACUAGUUAAAGGACAAAGAACAUUACUGAUCAGAUCCUUGUAAAAUAUAUAUUGCCAGCUAUACGUAUUGUAGAUAGAGUGAUGUCUUAUUAUUUGUCACUUCAUUUCUUAAAAAGUAUUAAUAUUUUUAUUAGUGAAACAAUAGAGAUUAUGUUGUAUGCAAAGCCACUUUGUAAACGUGAAAAGGAAAUCGUACCCCUGCACGGCUGUAGCUAUAUAUCCUGGGCUUGCAUUUCCUAGAAACCCAACAGUGAGAUAAACUUUUUCUAUUUUGCAAAUAGAUAUUUUAUAUUUAGUUUAAAAAUUAAUGGGUAGGUACUGUAAUCCCUAGACAGUAAUAACCACACUGGAGGUCAUUUAGUUCCACAAAUAUUAAAUGUGAAACUGUAUGCUAAAGGCUGUGAAUAAGACGCAGUCCUGCCCAUAAGAGUUUUUUAACUUACUGGAGGCAGGAGCUUCAUUUCUAAUUCUCUGUUGUCUAGUUUCUGAUUGUACACUGGUUUUUAAGAAAUAGCCCUACCUCUAAUAAGGACUCUUUAGUAGUUGUCAGACCUGCCGGACUUCAGAUGCCUAUGUAGCCACUACACUAUUUCUUUGUUUAAUAAUCUUCUACGUAAAGAAAUAGAGUGUUUAUGAAACUAAUUUUGAAAUUGACCAUAUGGAAAAUUGGGAGAGAUUAAUGGUAAAGGCAGAGACAACACCGCUUAACCACCAGGAAUGUUUAAAGUUGGCCUCGGUUGUUGGUGCUCAUCGAUGCUCCUGAGCGCCUGGGCGUCUGUCUUAUUGAUAGAGGCAAGUCUGGCAGAUUGUACCAUUUCAUUUCAGAAAUGAAAGAUUUUUUUUUCCAAAAAAACCACAACAGACUUUUCCCCCCAAAGAUUUUAUUUAUUCAUGAGAGACACAGGGAGGGAGAGGCAGAGACACAGGCAGAGGGAGAAGCAGGUGCUCUGUGGGGAGCCUGAUGCAGGACUCGAUCCCAGGGCCCCUGGGUCACGAUCUGAGCUGAAGGCAAACGCUCAACCCCUGAGCCACACGGGCAUCCCAAGAGACUGUGUUUUGAUAAACUAAGCUCCUAAAACAUGGAAGAAAUGUCAGUUUGUUAGCCUUGAUAUUUACUAGUUAGUGCCCUUCCAGUAGGGAGGAAAGGAUAAAUUGUGGAGUAAAGAGUAAGACCAUAAGGAACUUUACAGUAACAGUAAAGUUAUGGCGGUUGAGAGCCGCAGCACUUAGGAUAGCAAGUUAGGACACCUUUUUUAUUGGAAAAAUGGCAUCAAGGUCAUAUUCUUGGGUGGUGUUUUCAAAGACAACAAGCACCUCACUAUCAUUCUUUUUGUUAAACUCUCUACCAUGUAUCACAGCACAUUAGGUCAUAUUGUAUCUAAUAUGAAUUACAUUUUAGUCUUUUAGAGGAGAUUUAAGGAACAUUUUGGUCUCCUUGAUACUGGUAUUCAAAGUUAUCUUAUUGAAGAAAUUUUGAAACACUGUUCAAAACCAAGUUUCUAAAGUAUAUCUGUGUAGGGGAUUGCUUUGCACUGUGUAAUAUUUUUAGAUACUUACACAGUUGCAAGUGUUCUGCUGAGACACUUUAACAGUGUCUUUGAAGUGUCCUUUGAAGGUGAAACAAUUUAAAGUGGAAGAGAGAUCAUAUUGUAAUCUUUUUUAGAUGACUUGUUCUCCAUCUGCUUUUGAGGCCAUUUUAUAACUCACAUAGUAGAGAUAUUUCUAAAGGUAUAAAACAAGCUUGUGGCAUUCCGUUUGCCAACCUGAUGAUUUAUUUUCAUUAAGCAUUCAAGUACCUGUUUGUGUUGAGCACUAAUACUAGGCACUAGUGACAGAGGGGUAUGGGCCUUAGAGACCUACUCUCAGGAAGCUUCCGUCUGGUGAGAGAGGCAAAUGAAAAAUAACAUUAAAAUGAUGUGUAAAGUAUGUUGAAAUGUAAUCAUAUGCUAUCUUGGGAUGGGAUAAGUAAAAGGAAUAAUUAUCUCUGCUUAGGAAAUCACUUAAGGAGGAAAUUUAGGAAUUUAGUUUUUAAAGAUGAUUAGGUACUUACCAGGUCAGUGAAGAAGGAAAGACAUUAUAUUGGGGAUGUCGUAAUGUAAAAUAGCAAGGUAAAUUUGUGGAGUUCUAGUUGUUCGGUGUCGAUGUAGACUGGGUAGAGAUGUUAUGAGAGACUCAAGAUAUUAAUAAGGGCCCAAUGAAAAUGAACAUUGGACUUGAUCUUUUUAUUAGUAGAAGCUAUUGAAAAACAAAACAAAACAAAAACCUUGCUACACCUGGGUGGCUCAGCAGUUGAGCGUCUGCCUUUGGCUCAGGCCAUGAUCUUGGAGUCCCGGGAUCAAGUCCCACAUCAGGCUUCCCACAGGGAGCCUGCUUCUCCCUCUACCUGUGUCUCUGCCUCUCUCUCUCUCUCUCUUUCUCUCUGUGUCUCUCAUGAAUAAAUAAAAUAUUUAGUGUAUUCAUAAAAUAAAAUACAGCAGUGGGAGGAAUGGGCCAUUUAGACACUAAUGUGAUGUCACAAAAGGUUGAAACCAGGGACAGAAGAAUCUAUACUAUUUGUAUAAAAUUAAAAAACAAAACAAAACAAAAAACUAAUCUAGGGUAUUAGAAGUCAGAAUAAUUAUUAUUUUUUUGAAGAUUUAUUUAUUUAUCAGAGACACACACAGAGGCAGAGACAUAGGCAGAGGGAGAAGCAGGCUUCUUUGGGGAGCCUGAUGUGGGACUCCAUCCCGGGACUCUAGGAUUGCACCAGCAGCCAGAGGCAGCCACUCAAUUGCUGAGCUACCCAGGCGUCCCAGUCAGGGUAAUUAUCAUUCUUAUUUGGAGUUGUGAUUGAGAGGACACAAUAAAC